GUUGUAGUGAGUGAAAAUAAAUAUUAAAACACACGGAAAUGUAUUUUCCUGGCUGCAGCACCUGCCAUCUUGCCUCGGUAGGACUCAUUUUCAAAAACAGCAGCUUCUUGAAGCCCCAGAACGCAUUCCUGUGCUACGGAAGACGGAAGAGUAGCUCUCGGGGUCAGAAGGCGAAGGAGUAAUGUGAGGAUUCUUGCUUUUCUGGAAGCUAACACAUAGUCAGUGCCAAAGUAGUGACAGAAGAAAUCUUGAGAGGAAGCAUUUUUGUCUUGUACUUGAAACAGCUGCUGGGCCCACCAUGGCUCCUGUGAAGAUCAGCCAUGUGGUAUCAUUUUCUUCUCAGGAUCCCAAGUAUCCUGUAGAGAACUUGCUAAACCCAGAUAGUCCAAGGAGACCUUGGCUCGGCUGCCCUCAGGACAAGAGUGGGCAAUUGAAAGUAGAACUACAGCUGGAGAGGGCAGUGCCCACUGGCUACAUUGAUGUGGGUAACUGUGGCUGUGCGUUCCUGCAAAUUGAUGUGGGCCAUUCUUCCUGGCCCCUGGACAGACCUUUCAUAACCCUGCU
rnacentral:lncRNA from 1 species